CUAUUUAGUUUGUUCAAGUGCCUAAACCGGAGCACUUCCUUUUGAAAUUAAAUUGAGUAAAAAGUUGCGAUGAAAAUUGAAGUGAAUCAAAUAAUUGAAAUUACACUCUUCGGACGGGUAAAAGCCUGCCAAUUAAUGCCAUAUUUAUUUGUUUAAACCCAUGCCACAAUUUGGGAUUAAUUGGUAGACAAGGGACAACAAGGAAUUCUUUUCAAGCCCGGAACUAAGCCAACUUGAUGCAGAUGUGCGGAGACGUGUCGUUGGGCAGCUAUUCGGUCAGCAGCUUUCGACAUUGUGGUCAAAGGUCGUGAAGGUUGGCUGGGACAGGCGAGCAGCUCCAUCACCAAAGCGUGGUUAGGCGUGGCAAGGUAGUCGGCCAGUGCACUGGCCAGCUCCUGGCAUCAGGCGAUCGAUGAUCGCAUCGUUGAACAGCAGCUGCAAUCCCAGUGUGCGCACUCUGCAGAUCCAUCUGUGCACUGAGAGAAACGCAUGCUUGCACCUCAAAAUGCUGCAAUUGUUGCGACUUGUGCUCGGUCAGCUAUGUGAGCCACUUUUUCCUACCCAAAGGUUCUUGUGGAUACACAUGCUCCGGCAGCUCGUGAACAGAAACCUUCGCGAUAUAUUGAAUCCUCAGCUUCAAGAUGCGACAGCGCUUUACACUAUUUCGGCCAGUAAAUGGCAUCAGCAGCAAUUGAGCAAUGCUAAAGCCCAGUAACUUGCACGGGGUGCAAGCGCCUUGGACCUUAAGGUUUUGUUAUCUCCAAGUAGUUGCCCACAAAAGACUACAAAUGACUGCAGACUGUGCUGCUGUUUCCAGUUGCUGACCCAAAUGUGAAAAGCGCUGUUGCAUCUUGAAGGGCUAAGAAAAAAUGUGCAGAUAGUUGAAGAAUCCAGCCCAACUAGCUGGAUACCCCAACAGGAGCCCCAACCGUAUUCACAGUUAAAGCCAGAACGAACAUUUGAUAUUUGCCAUGCCGCACAAUUUGGGCAUUUUGAUCGCUUGCCUCGUCGAGCACAUGUGGCAAUGAGUGCAGCAUUUUGAGGGCCAACCAUACGAUUCUCUCAAUGUUCAGAUGGUUCUGCAGAUUGCACACACUGGGGUCGCCGCUGCAGUUCGACGACGCUAUGGCCGAGGGUUAAAUGUUGCUCGUUGGAUUCAAUCUGCCGUGUGGGAAUGGAAAGGAAAAUGCUGUGCCUCGACUGCUGCUCGUCUGUCCAGACCGACACGUCCUAUGACUGGAAUGUUGCAGGCUGCUUACCGAACAGCUGCUCCACGACGCUAUCUACAGGUCUCGUACGUCAUGCUCUGUUCUCCAGUAGAGUGGCAAGAGCCGAGACAAAAUACUGUUCAGUCUGUUUAAAUUGCGCUCCAUUAAAAUUCGAUGCAGCCUCAAA